rnacentral:rRNA from 1 species
UACGUAGGGUGCAAGCGUUAUCCGGAAUUACUGGGCGUAAAGCGCGCGUAGGCGGCUUUGUAAGUUAGAGGUGAAAGCCCGGAGCUCAACUCCGGAACUGCCUUUAAAACUGCAUCGCUUGAAUCCAGGAGAGGUGAGUGGAAUUCCGAGUGUAGAGGUGAAAUGCGCAGAUAUCAGGAGGAACACCAAUUGCGAAGGCAGCUCGCUGGGACGUUACUGACGCUGAGACGCGAAAGCGUGGGGAGCAAACAGG